rnacentral:lncRNA from 1 species
AAAUUCUAUACUGUUUAGAGCUUAAAGCUACAGAAGCAUUGUUAGGAAUUGCUUGGACACUGAAUUUUAAACUUUUUGACAUUGUUAACAAGCAUGUUCAUCUUUUCUUGUCACUAGUCCAAGAAAAUAUGCUUAAUGUACAUUACUAAAGGCUAUGUAUGUGUUAACCUGUUUUAAUGCCAAAAGUUUGCUAUAUGUCCACAGUUUCUUUAAGACCUCCUCAGAAAAGGAUUUGUUUGCCUUAAUGAAUACUGUUGGGUAGAAACACAGUAUAAUGAGUGAAAUGGGCAGAAGCAAGAACUCCCUACACCUAAGCGACUCCAAGAAGAAUGAAUGUCCACAUUUAGAUGGCACAUUAUGAGGACUUUAAUCUUUCCUUAAACACAAUAAUGUUUUCUUUUGCUUUUAUUCACAUGAUUUCUAAGUAUAUUUUUCAUGCAGGACAGUUUUUCAACCUUGAUGUACAGUGACUGUGUAAAAUUUUUCUUUCAGUGGCAACCUAUAAUCUUUAAAAUAUGGUAAGCAUCUUGUCUGUUUUGAAGGGGAUAUGACAAUAAAUCUACCAGAUGGAAAAUCCUGUCAAAAGUAGAAAAGCUUUAGUAAUUUACUCAGUGUGAUGGUUUUAUCCUUUUUUUUUUCUCUCUCUCUAUCCCUUUCCUUUUUUCUUGGCCAAAUAGGGAGAGAUGUACAGAAUCCAUCGCCACCUCCCCCACACUUCCCCAGCAUGCCAGCCCGAGUCUAGUCAUCAGGUUGUACUGGCCAUGUCUGGACGAAGCCAAGGUGUUGACAUCAUCAGUGACCUCCAAACCACCUAAUCAGAUGAACGCACCAGAUUCUUUGAUUGUAACCUGGCACCAAUGUCAUUGCCCUGUCAUCAAAGUUUCCUCGUGCCUUCUGUUACAUUACACUCUCUGGUUCUUUUCCUUACCUCUUCCCACCACUCUGAUCAGCAACAAAACCACAAGGUAAUAGCGAAUGCUCCAUGAGUGUUUAUUUUGUUUCAGGCAGACUAUAAGAUGCUGUAUACACACUGAUUCAUUCCACCUCUGUAUUAUCUCCAUGAGGCAGAUGCAGUUAUUAUUCCCACUAUAUGGACAACGAACCAGGCUUGUAAGCUGACAGAGGAAAAUGGUGUGCUCAGGAUGACAAAGCUAGUAAGAGAACUGGAUACAAACCCAGAUUUGUGGACUUCCAAAGCCAUGCUUUCUGCCAGUAGAGCACAUUGCUUCUAAUCUAUCUGUUGUUCUUCUUUUCCUGAUUCCACCCUAUAUAUGAGACUUCCCCAGGGUUCUGCUUUGGACUAGCUGCUCACCUGUCUUUAGAUGUUUACUUUCACAAGGAUAUGUUUGAUUUUCACGAGGGUGAAC